CAUUAGAUGGCUGAAAGUAAGCAAUGGUCUCUUAAACCAUCUAAUAGUAAGUCACGCCUACUUCUAAUGA
rnacentral:tRNA from 1 species